AUCCAGCUGACGAGUCCCAAAUAGGACGAAACAGGCCUCCUGGAU
rnacentral:hammerhead_ribozyme from 1 species